UACGGAGGGUGCGAGCGUUGUCCGGAAUCACUGGGCGUAAAGAGCGUGUAGGCGGUUAGGUAGGUCCGUUGUGAAAACUCGAGGCUCAACCUCGAGACGCCGAUGGAAACCAUCUAACUAGAGUCCGGAAGAGGAGAGUGGAAUUCCCGGUGUAGCGGUGAAAUGCGCAGAUAUCGGGAAGAACACCCGUGGCGAAGGCGGCUCACUGGCUCGUAACUGACGCUCAGGCGCGACAGCGUGGGGAUCAAACAGG
rnacentral:rRNA from 1 species